GAUGAACGCUGGCGGCGUGCCUAAUACAUGCAAGUCGAGCGAACGGACUAGAAGCUUGCUUCUCUGAUGUUAGCGGCGGACGGGUGAGUAACACGUGGAUAACCUACCUAUAAGACUGGGAUAACUUCGGGAAACCGUAGCUAAUACCGGAUAAUAUUUUGAAACGCAUGGUUCAAAAGUGAAAGACGGUAUUGCUGUCACUUAUAGAUGGAUCCGCGCUGCAUUAGCUAGUUGGUAAGGUAACGGCUUACCAAGGCAACGAUGCAUAGCCGACCUGAGAGGGUGAUCGGCCACACUGGAACUGAGACACGGUCCAGACUCCUACGGGAGGCAGCAGUAGGGAAUCUUCCGCAAUGGGCGAAAGCCUGACGGAGCAACGCCGCGUGAGUGAUGAAGUUCUUCGGAUCGUAAAACUCUGUUAUUAGGGAAGAACAUAUGUGUAAGUAACUGUGCACAUCUUGACGGUACCUAAUCAGAAAGCCACGGCUAACUACGUG
rnacentral:rRNA from 1 species